rnacentral:lncRNA from 1 species
CCGGAAUUCCUUUUUUCUCAAGCCCUGCCUUGGGAUGGCUCGUUAAAGGGUUGUCACUGAACCCCAAACGCCGUCUGUGUCCAACUCCCCAGCGUCAAGACUCGGUUGAGAAGGUGGAGAAUAGCACUCCGAAGCAUCUCUUUGAGCUAAAGAAGAGACAGUUGCAGUCUGCCUCUUCACAACGAAUGUACCAGCGCAAUACUGUGACCUGGUUAGCCGAGUGGGCUUCCAGAGGGAGUUUGCACCACCUGACGAGAAAAAUCAUGGAGAGGGGAUCUACUUCAGUAGCAGCAUGCAUGGGACAGAGAAGCUGUGGAGGGGCUUGGCUGAUGAAGAGUACCUGUACUUCGUUGCAGCGCAGGUGCUGACAGGGAAGUCAUUGGCACACCAGGUCUUAUUGUGCCACCGCAGACCCCCGU